rnacentral:rRNA from 1 species
UACGUAGGGUGCAAGCGUUAAUCGGAAUUACUGGGCGUAAAGCGUGCGCAGGCUGUUCUGUAAGUCAGAUGUGAAAUCCCCGAGCUCAACUUGGGAACUGCGUUUGAAACUACAGGACUAGAAUAUGUCGAGAGGGGGUAGGAAUUCCACGUGUAGCAGUGAAAUGCGUAGAGAUGUGGAGGAAUACCAAUGGCGAAGGCCAGCCCCCUGGGAUAAUAUUGACGCUCAUGCACGAAAGCGUGGGGAGCAAACAGG